CUGGGUGGGACCGGGGCGCUCUGCCCGUGGCCUUACCUGAGCCUGGGCCUCCUCACUUGGACCUGGGGUAGUCACAGGCCCCGCCCCCUGGGGUAGCGUGAGAUGGAAUGAGUUCGGCACCUGGCACAGUCCAUAGUGUGAACCCCAGUGGGACAGUUAUUCACCAGCCUUCCGGGCAGGGAUGGCCCACUCACCAGCUGCUCCUCCCCUGUGCGAGGGGCGCCUGAGUCAUGGGAACAAGGACGAACAGGACUGAAACUGUGCAAGUUAAAGCAAGCGAAGGACAAGGAUCCCUGUGGGAGCCUGGCAUGAGACUUCUGGGCUCUGGGCCUUUGCACUGACCGUUCCUCCUGCCUGGAGCACCUUUCCUCUUUUGCCUCUUCUUCUGCUUUAGUUUUUGAUGCCCCUGGGCAGAGUCGAGGAUUUCCUCCUCUCAUCGCUGCCAGCAACUUAAAGUGGUUGGGUCCACACGUGCCCACUGUGGGACCUCACCAAACUUGUUCCAUCAUCUGAAAAGUGGGGAGAAUAGGAGGAUUUACCUCCUGGGUUUAUUAGGAAGAUUUAAGGAGCUAACCCUGGAAAAUGCUGCACAGGAGGAGGCUGUUCUCCGAAGUUCCCUUAUCUGCUAGAAACUGGACCCCAAAGAGGAACACGAUUGCUUUCGAUCCCUUCCCUGAAAUUUCAUUAACUGGAGAUUAAAAUUCAUAUCACAGAGGAAGAGAAAAUUAAACACCACAUCUAGAGUCCAGACAAACUUUGUCCCAAAUGAGUGUUUCUUCUUCGGUCCCACUCAAUUUCCAAAGAAAAUCAUCUGUAAGAUAAUGUCUGCCUCCCAGGCCCAUUAAUGCCUCCUAACAGUCAUUCACUCCUACAGCCCCGUCUCCCCUUCCCCAGCGAAGAAGCGGAUAUAAACAUCUGGACCUCAAUGGAUAACUGGGUAAUCAUUCUCCUAUGAUUCCCCUGUGCUAGGCAUGUUAAAUACAUUUUUUAUGCUUUU
rnacentral:lncRNA from 1 species